rnacentral:tRNA from 1 species
GGCCACGGAUUUAGCGGCUUUGAAUAGCGGUCUUGAAAACCGUCGACUGUAACAGGUCCAUGAGUUCGAAUCCCAUCGCCUCCGCCA